rnacentral:lncRNA from 1 species
CUUUUUCUCCAAUGUAGUGUGGCUCGAUCCCAUCCCUCGCCCUCUCACUCGAGUUAGGCUUUAGUUUGAGAUUGCGGGGAGAUUGUAUUACGUAAAAUGAAAAAAUACGAUAGAAAAAUAUCUUAUUUAUUUUCGUUCGUAAUAUUGCGUUCUGUUUAUCGCGAUGAGUCGGUUAUAAUAUAUUUCUGCAGUUCCACCGAAGAACACAGAAACAUAUCACUAUUUACUUUUGCCCCAAAUCUGUUUUAUCUAAUAGGUUCGAUAGGCUUCAAUACCAAACUCAGCUUUAUUCGAAACAAUGUAAUUAACUUCAACCCACUCCAUACUCAGGUCAAUUACGAAUAAUAAUAAUAUUAUUUUUAAUACUGGUUAUAAUUAAAUAUAUUUAAGUAUGGUAUUAAUUACUCUUUAAUUUAGUAUGCAUAUUUAAAAUAUGAUAAAAAUUAAUUAAUUAAGUUUCAGUGUUUUCUUUAUUUUAGUUUGUAGAUUUAAAAUAUGAUGAAAAUUGAUUAGUUAAGUAUUAAUUUUUUAUUACUUUGUAAUUUUGUUGUUGUAUUAUUAUAAUUUAUAUAUGUAUAAAAAAAUAAUUUAGUUAUUUUAGAUUAAUUUUUUAAUUAUAUAAAAAAAUAUUAUUUUUAUUUAUUAUAUUAUAAUUUAUUAUUUAUCAAGUUAUUUAUUAUUUAUACUACAUUAUUCAUUUCCUACCAAACAAACAGCAAAACUGAAGAAACUUCACUUUUAUAACAAUAAAACAAACAACGGAGGAGAAGUAGUUUUUACUUGAACUCCACUUCAACCCAAAAUCUACUUCACUCCAAAGUUCAGUUUCAGUGAAACAAAUAGGUCCUAAAUGGAUACAGUAUCAAAUACAGAUAUUAAAAAAGAAAACCUGACGGUUUGUAAUUCUCGUGUAGAUUUUGUCACUACCCGACCCAAAUCCAAACCCGAACUAUAAUUAAUUUUACAUUAUAUAAUAUAUAUAAACAUUUAAUGUUACAUUUAAAUUUGUAUUUAAAAAUAUAUUCUGAAAUAUGGUAAAGAGAAAUAAUUAAUCCGGGUUCAGAUUCGAGUUUCAGAUUUAUUGGUAGAUUCGAGAUUUGGAUAAAGAUUUUUAAAAUCCAUCAUAUUCGAGUUCGCGUUUGGGACUCUGAUUUCAAAUUUGGUAAUCGGAUUCGGCUUAGGUUUUAGAAAUCCUGUCCGAAUGU